CCUACGGGAGGCUGCAGUGGGGAAUAUUGGACAAUGGGCGAAAGCCUGAUCCAGCCAUGCCGCGUGUGUGAAGAAGGCCUUCGGGUUGUAAAGCACUUUCAGUGGGGAAGAAAGCCUUGGGGCUAAUACCCUCGAGGAAGGACAUCACCCACAGAAGAAGCACCGGCUAACUCCGUGCCAGCAGCCGCGGUAAUACGGAGGGUGCGAGCGUUAAUCGGAAUUACUGGGCGUAAAGCGCGCGUAGGCGGUCUGAUAAGCCGGUUGUGAAAGCCCCGGGCUCAACCUGGGAACGGCAUCCGGAACUGUCAGGCUAGAGUGCAGGAGAGGAAAGUAGAAUUCCCGGUGUAGCGGUGAAAUGCGUAGAGAUCGGGAGGAAUACCAGUGGCGAAGGCGGCCUUCUGGACUGACACUGACGCUGAGGUGCGAAAGCGUGGGUAGCAAACAGGAUUAGAUACCCGAGUAGUC
rnacentral:rRNA from 1 species